UUUGGUGGAUCAUAGAGAAAAAGGAGUUUAUUUAAAAUUAAAACUCUUCAAUAGACUUCUGACCUAUGGCAAGGAAUAUUGAAAUAAUAACAAAAACAAAUAAAUCACUCCCCUUCUUAUUCUUUACGGUGUAGUAACCGAAAGAAAAAAAAUGAAGACUUUCACUCCUCUCAUCACUCUCUUUCCAUACACAAACAAACAUAUUUUUUUUUUAAAGAAAAACUCUCACCUCUCUCAUUAGCGUGUUUUAACUCUUGAUGAACAAUCAAUACUAUCAACCUAAAACACGUUUUGAAGCAAGGCGGCAGAAGGGUGGUUAAUAUGGUGUUCGGUUGGUGUAAAAGGACGGUGGUUUUAACUCUUGAUGAUGAUGGAAGUGAAGAAGAUGAUGAUGUUAUUGAAGAGUUAAGUUUGAAGUUGGUGAAGAGAUAAAAAAGAGAAGAUUGUAUGUUGUGAGUUUAUGGAGAGAUGAAAGUUAUUUUAUGUUGUGAAAAUGAGAUGUUGAGAUAUUUUUAUGUGUGAGAAAUGAGGUAACAGUAAAAGAGAAAAGAAAAAGGAAAAGAAAGAAUGAAAGAGAGAGAAAGGAAAAAAGAGAGAAAGAAGAAUAGCGAGAAAGAAAGAGCAACGUACGUGGGGAUAGAGAAAGGGAGGAAAGAAAAGAAGAGAAAAAAACA
rnacentral:lncRNA from 1 species